GGGCUAAGUAAAGUUGUGAUCCUUGACACCCGGUCACGCUGAAGCGGGGAUUACAAGAAGGUUGUCCGCCAUUCCUAUAUCUUUUUCUCCUGCAAUAGUGUCAAGGGGCUAAGUAAAGUUGUGAUCCUUGACACUCGGUCACGCUGAAGCGGGGAUUACAAGAAGGUUGUCCGCCAUUCCUAUAUCUUUUUCUCCUGCAAUAGUGUCAAGGGGCUAAGUAAAGUUGUGAUCCUUGACACUCGGUCACGCUGAAGCGGGGAUUACAAGAAGGUUGUCCGCCAUUCCUAUAUCUUUUUCUCCUACGUACAUAAGGGUUCUGGUGUCUCUUUUGAAGGAUUGAAACUGACUCGUACAUUUAGAGAGUUCAAUUUUUCCUACUGAGGUUGUUUAUGAUCUAAAAAUUAAUCUUUCCUCAUCUAAUGAGAUAAAGAAGGCCAUCUGGGAUGUGUGUCCCAAAAAAAUAAAAUACUGAGGUUCAUCAUCUGGUCAUAUUGAGAGUAUGAUGUCUUGCAGAUUACAAUUGAAGAACGCGAGUACUUCUUAUUUCUAUAAUUCAGUACUCCUUGUACUUCACAAAUAUACGCCCUUCUAUCAUUAAGUUUCUUUUAUUUUUUAUAUCAAAGAAACAAGAAGGAGACUAAGCUAUCAUUUUGGAUUUUAAUGUCAAGGUUAUUUUAAGGAUAUUCAGACAAAAGCCACUCUUCUCAAGUGUGACUCAACUGGCUCUUAAUAUCGAAAUAUUUUUGAUAGAUUUUAUAAUGGUUUCAAUGGGGUAAGAAAUAUCUCAUCUUUCUUAAUUUAGUUAUCUAAUUCAGAUUGCAUGGAAAUUAGAAAGGACUCCCAAACAAAUACAAUUCCCUUUAUUGAGAUUUGUGAAUUUCUGGCCAAGGUUUUUCCAUUAUCAAUGCUAUUAAAUUGGAUCCUUGAGAUGUGAAGUGUAUUCACUUACUUCCAUUGAUUUCUGGGAGCUGUUGGUAUUGGGCGGCAGUGACAUUCUUCAAAUCCUUCCACAGUAUUUGUAUCAGGAACGAACUACAUUGCCUCUUCUCCCUCUCCUGCUGCAUUUGGUGUUACUUCAGUGUUUAGAGAUGGCAAGCUCCCAAGUACAUGUACCUAGAAGAUGCUGCCUGGAUAUAACCUUUUCUUGGAUUUCCUGUAAUUUAGCUGUGUUUUUCUGAGCAGUUACAUGAAGUGCUCGACUGGAACAACCUUUCGGAUUGCAGGCAAUCCAUUUCCAUCACUGUAUAUGUAAGAUGUUUGAAUGAUUUGAGGGUUCUAUUGUGCGUAUUGAAUAUAUCAUAUUAUAGCAUAUUUGAUAGAUAGUACCGGAUAGAAUUGGAUAGUUUAAUUGACAAGAUUGUAGCUUUAUUUUCUUGGUCAAUAUUGUCUGGGUUUACCUUACCAAACAUGCCAUUAGCGUUUAAAGGGGGGAAAAAUUUAAUAAUGUAGAUAGGUCUGACAUGGCAUGUUGUUCAAAUAUGGAUGACAUAUUGUAAAAGGG
rnacentral:lncRNA from 1 species